UCCUUCGGCGGAGCAAAGUAGAGAUCCUUUGCCAGGAUUAGGAUACUCGCCGUCUCCCAAGGAAUCGGAGGUGUGGACGCGAAAGGACCAGCCUCCCCUUGUCAGAAAUCCAUCGAGUUCCUCCUCGCAUAAGGACGACGGCAUCGAUCGAGUCCUUGCGGAGCCUACGCGGGAGAAGCCGAAUUUGUGUGAAGGAACCUGCAGCAAGGCUAUGCAAUGAAGUUUAUUUGAAUGCAGUCUCAUCAGAGCCCCAAUGAUCUCAUUAGCAGGACAACUUUACAUGCGCUUACAAUGUACGAGACAAGAAAAAGCAGAUGAAUGAGCCGAAAAGAAUUGAAGUAUCCAGAUUCAAGACGAAAACUGUAAUCCAUCAAGCAUCUUCCUGUAUAAAAAAUGAUUGAUUUUGAUUAGUUCUUAGCACAAUACAUAAGCUCCAAGAACCGUUAAUGGGACAU